GACGAACGCUGGCGGCGUGCUUAACACAUGCAAGUCGAACGGAAAGGCCCUGCUUUUGUGCGGUGCUCGAUUGGCGAACGGGUGAGUAACACGUGAGUAACCUGCUCUUGUCUUUGGGAUAACUUCAGGAAACUGGGGCUAAUACCGGAUAGGAGCUCCUGCUGCAUGGUGGGGGUUGGAAAGUUUCGGCGGUUGGGGAUGGACUCGCGGCUUAUCAGCUUGUUGGUUGGGUAGUGGCUUACCAAGCCUUUGACGGGUAGCCGGCCUGAGAGGGUGACCGGGCACAUUGGGACUACGAGACGGCGCAGACUCCUACGGGAGGCAGCAGGGGGAAAUAUUGCACAAUGGGCGCAAGCCUGAUGCGACAACGCCGCGUGCGGGAUGACGUCCUUCGGGUUGUAAACCGCUUUCGCCUGUGACGAAGCGGGAGUGACGGUAAUGGGUAAAGAAGCACCGGCUAACUACGUG
rnacentral:rRNA from 1 species